rnacentral:tRNA from 1 species
ACCUAGCUGGCUCAGUUGGUCGAGCAUGCGACUCUUGAUCUCAAAGUUGUGAGUUCAAGCCCCAUACUAGGCA